rnacentral:rRNA from 1 species
GUGAACGCUGGCGGUAGGCCUAACACAUGCAAGUCGAACGGCAGCACAGUAAGAGCUUGCUCUUACGGGUGGCGAGUGGCGGACGGGUGAGGAAUACAUCGGAAUCUACUUUUUCGUGGGGGAUAACGUAGGGAAACUUACGCUAAUACCGCAUACGACCUACGGGUGAAAGCAGGGGAUCUUCGGACCUUGCGCGAUUGAAUGAGCCGAUGUCGGAUUAGCUAGUUGGCGGGGUAAAGGCCCACCAAGGCGACGAUCCGUAGCUGGUCUGAGAGGAUGAUCAGCCACACUGGAACUGAGACACGGUCCAGACUCCUACGGGAGGCAGCAGUGGGGAAUAUUGGACAAUGGGCGCAAGCCUGAUCCAGCCAUACCGCGUGGGUGAAGAAGGCCUUCGGGUUGUAAAGCCCUUUUGUUGGGAAAGAAAAGCAGCAGGUUAAUACCCCGCUGUUCUGACGGUACCCAAUGAAUAAGCACCGGCUAACUUCGUG